rnacentral:rRNA from 1 species
AUUGAACGCUGGCGGCAUGCCUUACACAUGCAAGUCGAACGGCAGCGCGGGGCAACCUGGCGGCGAGUGGCGAACGGGUGAGUAAUAUAUCGGAACGUACCCUGGAGUGGGGGAUAACGUAGCGAAAGUUACGCUAAUACCGCAUACGAUCUAAGGAUGAAAGUGGGGGCUCGCAAGACCUCAUGCUCCUGGAGCGGCCGAUAUCUGAUUAGCUAGUUGGUAGGGAAAAGCCUACCAAGGCAUCGAUCAGUAGCUGGUCUGAGAGGACGACCAGCCACACUGGAACUGAGACACGGUCCAGACUCCUACGGGAGCAGCAGUGGGAAUUUGGACAAUGGGGGCAACCCUGAUCCAGCGACGCCGCGUGUGUGAAGAAGGCCUGCGGGUUGUAAAGCACUUUUAGUGGGGAUGAAAAGCCGAAGGCUAAUACCUUUCGGUCUUGACCUAACCUACAGAAAAGCACCGGCUAACUCUGUGCCAGCCGCCGCUGUAA